AGUGAUGAAGGCCUUCGGGUCGUAAAGCUCUUUCGGAAGGGACGAAACCGGUCCGGGAUAAUAAACCGGGCUCUUGACGGUACCUUAAGAAGAAGCACCGGCUAACUCUGUAC
rnacentral:rRNA from 1 species